rnacentral:rRNA from 1 species
GACGAACGCUGGCGGCGUGCUUAACACAUGCAAGUCGAACGGAAAGGCCCUGCUUUUGUGGGGUGCUUGAGUGGCGAACGGGUGAGUAACACGUGAGUAACCUGCCCUUGACUUUGGGAUAACUUCAGGAAACUGGGGCUAAUACCGGAUAGGAGCUCCUGCUGCAUGGUGGUGGUUGGAAAGUUUCGGCGGUUGGGGAUGGACUCGCGGCUUACCAGCUUGUUGGUGGGGUAGUGGCGUACCAAGCCUUUGACGGGUAGCCGGCCUGAGAGGGUGGCCGGCCACAUUAGGACUGAGAUACGGCCCAGACUCCUACGGGAGGCAGCAGUGGGGAGUAUUGCACAGUAAGCGGGAGCCUGAUGCGACAGCGCCGCGUGCGGGAUGACGGGCUUCGGGUUGUGAACCGAUGUCGCCUGUGACGAGGCGUGAGUGACGGUAAUGGGUAAAGAAGCACCGGCUAACUACGUG